CACGUAGGUAAUCUACCUUCGGGUGGGGAAUAACCCAGGGAAACUUGGGCUAACACCGCAUAAUGCAGCGGCACCACAUGGUGACAGUUGUUAAAGCGGGGGAUUUUAGGACCUCGCGCCUGAAGAGGAGCCUGCGGCAGAUUAGCUUGUUGGUAAGGUAACGGCUUACCAAGGCGACGAUCUGUAGCCGGCCUGAGAGGGCGGUCGGCCACACUGACACUGACAUACGGGUCAG
rnacentral:rRNA from 1 species